rnacentral:lncRNA from 1 species
CUGCCAAUACAUCGACAACCCAAUGACUAAUAUAAUUUUCGACACUAGAAAAAAUGUGUUGUAGAGACAUCUUUGUUAUAAGGGGUCAGAUGAACAAUUUACGAGAAUAAAUUGCAUAUAUCUAGCGAAUACUUUGCAUUCAGAAGCGGGGAAAUCAAUCAUUCACAUUAAACCAUGCUUCAUGUCUCUUACAGCACACUGCUAUGUGUUCGAUUAAUUGUUGUACCAAUUGGAAUAUUUUCGCAUGAACACACUUUUCCACCAAAAUUCUCUAUCAGUACUCCACGGCCUUCAUCAAGAUUGAAAACAUUUGAUACUAAAAUAUAAAAACAACACAAAAACUCUAGUGUAAAACAAGUUAAUCAGUCUCAACAAACAUAAAAAGGAAAAUAAAUGUACCAAUAUGUAUUAUCCAACAGUUUAUAUAUAUUUCUCGAUAUUUUAUAAACUUUUUUUCACAGUUUAACUAAUAUAAAAAAAUUAUCGAAAAAAACAACCACUAAUUAUAGACAACGACAGCUGGAUUGUCAAGGUAGAUAAUUCAAAGUUACACUAUAGAGAACCAAAUUCAACUUCAGCUCUAUGGAGUUUCAAUAACCUCGCACUCCAACCCAUUCUACAUGUUAAUGCGAUCCAGAAAUAUUUCAACCUUAUGUUACCUGAUUCACAAAUUUCUACCUCCCUCUAUUAAUUCAUGGACGCAAAAAUCUAUAAAUCUUUGGGAAACAUGGUACAAUAAUGAAAUAUAUAUGAACACAAAACUACAUUUUUUUUUCUUGAAAAAAAAUAAUGAAUGCGUACUCUUCAAUUGAAAAAAAUAAAAAAAUAAAAUAACCCUAAAAUUGAACCAACAUUUCAACCAUCAAGCCAUAUAGAUCAACCAGCGAGCUACACAUAUCAACAUAAUUUUUACAUCUUGCGAAAAAAAUGCACAUAUGGUUAUAUAAACCAAAAAACUCAUAAAUUUAGAAGAACCCAUAACAAAUACCAAAUGUAACUUGCAUCUACUGACUACUGAGAAAUAUGCUCACCAAAAUAAUUUUUAACGAAUAAGUUACCCAAAAUAAGUUUAUCAUCUUCUACAUAGAAAUACAUUAGUUCUCAAACAUUAAAUAACAAAAAUAUUCUCUUCAUCUUCUAGAAUAAAAAUGUACAAAUGAGUAUUAGGAAAAGAAAAAAAAAAUCACUCUUAAAUUCAGAGGAACUCAACAACAUCGAAUAGCCAAAAUGGUACUUUAGAUAGGCACUCAUUUUUAUUGCAGAGAGUGAAGAUAACUCACAACAACGACUUGAGGAACGACAUGCGAUGACGGCAUCUUCACAGAGGAAAAGAAAGUUCAGUUGCCGUUGAUUCUUAGGGAGAUAUAGAGAAAUUGGGCUUUCAAGAGAUGCCCUAACAAAAUAAUUACGGUUACCGAGGAGAUAUCCAGCGCAAUUUGCAAGUUCCCCAUUUGGAGGAGUUUACAGAUUUCUUCAGUGCUUCAAGUGCCA